GGGUAGCCGGCCUGAGAGGGCGACCGGCCACACUGGGACUGAGACACGGCCCAGACUCCUACGGGAGGCAGCAGUGGGGAAUACUGCACAAUGGGCGCAAGCCUGAUGCAGCGACGCCGCGUGAGGGAUGACGGCCUUCGGGUUGUAAACCUCUUUCAGUAGGGAAGAAGCCGUAAGGUGACGGUACCUGCAGAAGAAGCGCCGGCUAACUACGUGCCAGCAGCCGCGGUAAUACGUAGGGCGCAAGCGUUAUCCGGAAUUAUUGGGCGUAAAGAGCUCGUAGGCGGUUUGUCGCGUCUGCCGUGAAAGUCCGGGGCUCAACUCCGGAUCUGCGGUGGGUACGGGCAGGCUAGAGUGAUGUAGGGGAGACUGGAAUUCCUGGUGUAGCGGUGAAAUGCGCAGAUAUCAGGAGGAACACCGAUGGCGAAGGCAGGUCUCUGGGCAUUAACUGACGCUGAGGAGCGAAAGCAUGGGGAGCGAACAGGAUUAGAUACCCUGGUAGUCCAUGCCGUAAACGUUGGGCACUAGGUGUGGGGGACAUUCCACGUUUUCCGCGCCGUAGCUAACGCAUUAAGUGCCCCGCCUGGGGAGUACGGCCGCAAGGCUAAAACUCAAAGGAAUUGACGGGGGCCCGCACAAGCGGCGGAGCAUGCGGAUUAAUUCGAUGCAACGCGAAGAACCUUACCAAGGCUUGACAUGAACCGGACCGGGCUGGAAACAGUCUCUCCCCUUGUGGGCUGGUUUACAGGUGGUGCAUGGUUGUCGUCAGCUCGUGUCGUGAGAUGUUGGGUUAAGUCCCGCAACGAGCGCAACCCUCGUUCUAUGUUGCCAGCACGUGAUGGUGGGGACUCAUAGGAGACUGCCGGGGUCAACUCGGAGGAAGGUGGGGACGACGUCAAAUCAUCAUGCCCCUUAUGUCUUGGGCUUCACGCAUGCUACAAUGGCCGGUACAAAGGGUUGCGAUACUGUGAGGUGGAGCUAAUCCCAAAAAGCCGGUUUCAGUUCGGAUUGGGGUCUGCAACUCGACCCCAUGAAGUCGGAGUCGCUAGUAAUCGCAGAUCAG
rnacentral:rRNA from 1 species